UGAGUGGUCCUGUAAACUCUUGUGCUGGUAACGGGCCGGGCUAGCACGGGCCUAAACCAGAACUGAAACCUUUGAGCUCCUGAACAUGGAGGCCAAGUUCUACCAUGCUGCCAUUUUGAAUUAUAACGGUGAAAUAUAUCAACGAGUACUAGAUUUAAACUUGCAACUCUUGCUUAAGAGGUCCGCACUAGUGUUCACAAACUCGGCCUGUCCGACUCGGAACUGGGCACUAGCUGAUAUGGUUUUGGCCAUUUUUCGUUGUCUAACCGGG
rnacentral:lncRNA from 1 species